ACGUAGGGUGCGAGCGUUAAUCGGAAUUACUGGGCGUAAAGCGUGCGCAGGCGGUUGUAUAAGUCAGAUGUGAAAUCCCCGGGCUCAACCUGGGAACUGCAUUUGAGACUGUACGGCUAGAGUGUGGCAGAGGGGGGUAGAAUUCCACGUGGACCGCGCACUUGCGUAGAGAUGAGGAGGAAGCCCGAUGGCGUAGGCAGCAACCUGGGAUAAUUCUGUUGCUCAUGCUGUAAAGCGUGGUGAGAUGGCAG
rnacentral:rRNA from 1 species